GACGAACGCUGGCGGCGUGCUUAACACAUGCAAGUCGAACGGAAAGGCCCUGCUUUUGUGGGGUGCUCGAGUGGCGAACGGGUGAGUAACACGUGAGUAACCUGCCCUUGACUUUGGGAUAACUUCAGGAAACUGGGGCUAAUACCGGAUAGGAGCUCCUGCUGCAUGGUGGGGGUUGGAAAGUUUCGGCGGUUGGGGAUGGAUUCGCGGCUUAUCAGCUUGUUGGUGGGGUAGUGGCUUACCAAGGCUUUGACGGGUAGCCGGCCUGAGAGGGUGACCGGCCACAUUGGGACUGAGAUACGGCCCAGACUCCUACGGGAGGCAGCAGUGGGGAAUAUUGCACAAUGGGCGGAAGCCUGAUGCAGCAACGCCGCGUGCGGGAUGACGGCCUUCGGGUUGUAAACCGCUUUCGCCUGUGACGAAGCGUGAGUGACGGUAAUGGGUAAAGAAGCACCGACUAACUACGUG
rnacentral:rRNA from 1 species